rnacentral:rRNA from 1 species
AAGUCCCGCAACGAGCGCAACCCUGCAUCCAGUUGCCAUCGGGCGAGCCGGGCACUCUGAGGGACUGCCGGCGACAAGCCGGAGGAAGGUGGGGAUGACGUCAAGUCAUCAUGGCCCUUAUGUCCAGGGCGACACACGUGCUACAAUGGCCGGCACAGCGGGAAGCGGAGGGGCGACCCUGAGCGGAUCCCUUGAAAGCCGGUCCCAGUUCGGAUUGCAGUCUGCAACUCGACUGCAUGAAGUUGGAAUCGCUAGUAAUCGCGGAUCAGCCAAGCCGCGGUGAAUACGUUCCCGGGCCUU